UCUGGUGGCCAUACCGGAGAGGAAACGCCCGAUCCCAUUUCGAACUCGGAAGCUAAGCUCUCUAGGGCCGAUGGUACUGCGGGUCCAGCCCGUGGGAGAGUAGGUUGCUGCCGGGA
rnacentral:rRNA from 1 species